rnacentral:rRNA from 1 species
CGACGUGCAUUAGCUAGUUGGUAGGUAACGGCUACCAAGGCGAUGAUGCAUAGCCCGAGUUGAGAGACUGAUCGGCCACAUUGGGACUGAGACACGGCCCAAACUCCUACGGGAGGCAGCAGUAGGGAAUCUUCCACAAUGGACGAAAGUCUGAUGGAGCAACGCCGCGUGAGUGAAGAAGGUUUUCGGCUCGUAAAGCUCUGUUGUUGGUGAAGAAGGACAGGGGGUAGUAACUGAUCUUUGUUUGACGGUAAUCAAUUAGAAAGUCACGGCUAACUACGUGCCAGCAGCCGCGGUAU